rnacentral:rRNA from 1 species
GAUGAACGCUAGCUACAGGCUUAACACAUGCAAGUCGAGGGGAAACGAUAUUGGAAGCUUGCUUCCGAUAGGCGUCGACCGGCGCACGGGUGAGUAACGCGUAUCCAACCUGCCCACCACUUGGGGAUAACCUUGCGAAAGUAGGACUAAUACCCAAUGAUAUCUCUAGAAGACAUCUGAAGGAGAUUAAAGAAUUAUCGGUGAUGGAUGGGGAUGCGUCUGAUUAGCUUGUUGGCGGGGUAACGGCCCACCAAGGCGACGAUCAGUAGGGGUUCUGAGAGGAAGGUCCCCCACAUUGGAACUGAGACACGGUCCAAACUCCUACGGGAGGCAGCAGUGAGGAAUAUUGGUCAAUGGACGAGAGUCUGAACCAGCCAAGUAGCGUGCAGGAUGACGGCCCUAUGGGUUGUAAACUGCUUUUAUAAGGGAAUAAAGUGAGUCUCGUGAGACUUUUUGCAUGUACCUUAUGAAUAAGGACCGGCUAAUUCCGUGCCAGCCGCCGCCGUAA